CUGGUGUCACUGAGUGAUAACUAGACCUACUUAGUUGAUAUGUGAAAUAUGGUAAACAUGGCACUACUUUUUUAACCGACUUGACCCCCAGGCACUCAUCCAAAAAUGCAAGUCAGUACUAAAAUCCCAUCCAUGGGCAAGUAUGCUGCUCAGGGCUUAGGAGAUUGAAAUAAUAUUGUCCUUCAUUUUACUAAGAAUGUUCGUCCUUUGGACUAUUUACCUGUUGGGCAAAGAAAGAGGACAUCUGCCAUUCACCAGGGAAGGGGUGGUACGACAGUGCCCAUCACUGUGGCAUGAAAACACCGUUCAGAAUUUAGGAGACCAAAGAAGAAAAUGAAGCUUAAUAAACUGUGUUUCUUUCUCUGCCCGGUACUUCUCUGUGCUAUGACAUUAUCUACGCCAUCU
rnacentral:lncRNA from 1 species